GCCGGCAUAGCUCAGCUGGUAGAGCAGCUCAUUCGUAAUGAGCGGGUCGGGGGUUCAAAUCCCUCUGCCGGCU
rnacentral:tRNA from 1 species